CAAGCUCCUUUAUCACACUUGCACGAAAGCGGGAAAAGGGAACCCUGAGUGCUCAUGCGUUGAAUGGGCUUUUGCCAAGAGAAAUAUCUUGGAGAAAAGGGGGGGGAAAGACUGGGGCCAGCCGCCGCGGUAACGCCAGCCCCACGAGGGGGGGCCGUGUAUUUGGCCUAAAGCGUCCGUAGCUGGUUGGAUAAAUUUCUUGUGAAACCGUUGAGCUCAACUCACCGGCGUGCGGGAAAGACUGUUCGACUUGGGACCGGGGGGGGCUAGAGUUAUUUUGUGGGGGGCGGAAAAAUGUUUUUAUCCAUAGAGGACCCCAUGGGGAAGGCUUUUAGCUAGAACGGAUUUGACAGUGAGGGCAAAAGUAUGUGGGCCAAAACGGAUUAGAUUCCCGGGGAGUCCUGGCUGGAAACGCUGCGGGUUGGGGUUGUGCACAUUCUUCGAGAAGGGGCGGUAUCGCAAGCGAAAGGGCCUAAAUUCGCCGCCUGGGGAGAUUGGUCGCGAGGUUAAAACUUAAAGAAAUUUGGGGGGGAAAGGGCAAUUCCCGGCCGCCAAAUUUAAUUCGCCCCAUAGGGGUCGUAUUAAAUUCCCCUGGCGUCGUUUAACA
rnacentral:rRNA from 1 species